GCCCUUAGAGUUUGAUCCUGGCUCAGAUUGAACGCUAGCGGCAGGCCUCAUACAUGCAAGUCGAGCGAGAAAGUUCCUUCGGGAGCGAUUAGAGCGGCGGACGGGUGAGUAAUAUAUGGGAAUCUACCUUGUAGUGGGGGACAACUCUGGGAAACUAGAGCUAAUACCGCAUAAUCUCUACGGAGGAAAGUGAGGGAUCUUCGGACCUCAUGCUACUAGAUGAGCCCAUAUCAGAUUAGCUAGUUGGUGGGGUAAAGGCCUACCAAGGCAACGAUCUGUAGCUGGUCUGAGAGGAUGAUCAGCCACACUGGGACUGAGACACGGCCCAGACUCCUACGGGAGGCAGCAGUAGGGAAUAUUGGACAAUGGGCGCAAGCCUGAUCCAGCCAUGCCGCGUGUGUGAAGAAGGCCUUCGGGUCGUAAAGCACUUUCAGUAACCAUGAAAGCAGGGUAGUUAAUAGCUGCUCUGUGUGACUAAUUACAGAAGAAGCACCGGCAAACUCCGUGCCAGCAGCCGCGGUAAUAAGGGCG
rnacentral:rRNA from 1 species